GUGAGUCCACCCCUCCGCUGACGUCACUCAGGCUGAGUCCACCAGUGACCUUCAUGUUCUCAAAUGAAGUGCUUUGAUAAGUGUGAAACCACCUGUUCUCUGGCCUGUGUGCUGCAGCAAUUCUCAGAUUCUUCAGUGAGCUGCUUACUGGUAGCUGAGAACCUGAAAUUCGCAUCAACUCAUUCAGCCUUCUGAGAGAAUCUAUCAGGAGGAGAGCAUGUGCAGUUUUCCCACAAUGGGAUUGCCCUUGGAGAAGACCUUGCAGGCACUUCACCCAGGCCCGUGACAUGAGCAGCUACUUAGACGUUUGUGGGUCACCAGCCCAGGAGAACAGCUCUC